rnacentral:piRNA from 1 species
UGGAUACAACCCUGGUGACAAUUUGCCUG